rfam:Rhodobacter sp. CACIA14H1 contig00281, whole genome shotgun sequence.
GGGGAUCUUCGGAGCCCUAUAACCUCGGGUCGCCGCCUGCGACCCCUCAAGCUGACGGAAGACAGAGA